GGCGGUGUAGCUCAGCUGGCUAGAGCAUGGGAUUCAUAAACCCAAGGUCGUGAGUUCAAGUCUCACCGCCGCCA
rnacentral:tRNA from 1 species